AUUGAACGCUGGCGGCAUGCCUUACACAUGCAAGUCGAACGGUAACGCGGGGCAACCUGGCGACGAGUGGCGAACGGGUGAGUAAUGCAUCGGAACGUGCCCAGUUGUGGGGGAUAACUGCUCGAAAGAGCAGCUAAUACCGCAUACGACCUGAGGGUGAAAGCGGGGGAUCGCAAGACCUCGCGCAAUUGGAGCGGCCGAUGUCGGAUUAGCUAGUUGGUGGGGUAAAGGCCCACCAAGGCGACGAUCCGUAGCUGGUCUGAGAGGACGACCAGCCACACGGGGACUGAGAAACGGCCCAGACUCCUACGGGAGGCAGCAGUGGGGAAUUUUGGACAAUGGCCGCAAGUCUGAUCCAGCCAUGCCGCGGGCGGGAAGAAGGCCUUCGGGUUGUAAACCGCUUUUGUCAGGGAAGAAAUCUUCUGGGUUAAUACCUCGGGAGGAUGACGGUACCUGAAGAAUAAGCACCGGCUAACUACGUGCCAGCCGCCGCCGUAAAAC
rnacentral:rRNA from 1 species